rnacentral:rRNA from 1 species
AGUGAACGCUGGCGGUAGGCCUAACACAUGCAAGUCGAACGGCAGCACAGUAAGAGCUUGCUCUUACGGGUGGCGAGUGGCGGACGGGUGAGGAAUACAUCUGAAUCUACUUUUUCGUGGGGGAGAACGUAGGGAAACUUACGCUAAUACGGCAUACGACCUACGGGUGAAAGCAGGGGAUCUUCGUACCUUGCGCGAUUGAAUGAGCCGAUGUCGGAUUAGCUAGUUGGCGGGGUAAAGGCCCACCAAGGCGACGAUCCGUAGCUGGUCUGAGAGCAUGAUCAGCCAGACUGGAACUGAGACACGGUCCAGACUCCUACGGGAGGCAGCAGCGGGGAAUAUUGGACAAUGGGCGCAAGCCUGAUCCAGCCAUACCGCGUGGGUGAAGAAGGCCUUCGGGUUGUAAAGCCCUUUUGUUGGGAAAGAAAAGAAGCAGGUUAAUACCCCGCUGUUCUGACGGUACCCAAAGAAUAAGCACCGGCUAACUUCGUG